rnacentral:lncRNA from 1 species
CAGAAAACAAGCACCCUCAGUAAACAUGACCUAAUGAGGGUGGUGGCCUUCAACUGCCUGGGAGGUACCAGAAGAACCCUACAAAGAGCCAGGGCUCUCACACAGACAGGCAACACCUGCCAAAGAAGUCUCUGAAAUAUCCUUUUAAUUGACAUAAAACUAUCCUAUUCACCUUUGGGGGCCAAGGAAUUGUCUUUUGAUUUAUUUUCCUUUACUAAAUACUGUGUAAUUAGAUGAAUUCGGAACUCUGUAAGGGGGACAGUUUGUCGUGCCCAGUAGCUUCCCACUGGACUCUGGAGCCUGGCCUGCAAGAGCUCCAGCAAAUCCUCAUCCUUGGAACAACCUUCGCCAUGUUCUGCAAACCAUGCCUCAGGAGCAGUACAACAUGGGGACCCUGGCACUCCAAGAACUUCCAGAAACACUUUCUGAAAGUUCAGAGCUCAGUGACAGUUACGACUCUACCUAACUUAUUCCUGUAGCUCCUUUUCAAUUAAUAUUUAUUGCAUGUAUUAUACUAUGUUGAGACACUUUUGGCUUCCAGUGUCAUUAAUGUAUAAAUCCAGGUUGACAAGAGAGAGAUAUAUAUGGGAUGUCUAACUGAAAUGCUUAGAUUUCCAUAACCACUUAAUUAAUUGAUUUCUUUACAUUUAGAUUAAUUAAUUUCUUUAAGAUGAAUUUUGCCAAAUAUUCCUCU